UACGAAGGGUGCAAGCGUUAAUCGGAAUUACUGGGCGUAAAGGGCGUGUAGGCGGUUCGUUAAGUCUGUCGUGAAAUCCCCGGGCUCAACCUGGGAAUGGCGAUGGAUACUGGCGAGCUAGAGUGUGGCAGAGGAUGGUGGAAUUCCCGGUGUAGCGGUGAAAUGCGUAGAGAUCGGGAGGAACAUCAGUGGCGAAGGCGGCCAUCUGGGACAACACUGACGCUGAAGCACGAAAGCGUGGGGAGCAAACAGG
rnacentral:rRNA from 1 species